AAGGAUAUUUUGGUUUUUAGUUACUUCUAUGAGUCUAUCCAUGUAUUGCAAAUAUAGAUAUUCUUAUUUCACAUUUGAUACUGCAUAACAAAUUCUGGCACAAUUUAUGCAGAUAAUAUGAAUGUGGAGUUCAAUAAGAGUAUAAGACCAACCAAAUGCUUUAAAUCUAGCUGGCUAAACUAUCAUUGACCUGGCGCAGGUAGGCCAAAUUCUGCCGAGGGCUCUUUUUGUCAAUGAUAGUUUAGCCCUUAGGAUGCAACUGAACUUCUCUGAUUUUAUGUUGUUAUGGAGUCUGCUUUGACACAGGCACUAGAAGUUCCUCUUCCAAACCAAUUCCCUCGUUCACCACCCCAUUCCAUUUCGCGCUAGUACAUGACAACUUUUGCCUUGUUAGUGCCCUAAAGGGCUAAAUUCAUGCUUGAUCCUUGAAAAUUGUUGAAGUUGGGUGCUGGUGUUAUGAUUAACUAUAAUUCCCAUUGAUAUUGGGAGGGCAGUCCAUUUUUUUGCUGGAAUGUUCUGAAUGAAGUGCCAUGCCUGCGACAUGUUUGAUUGAUUGCCACAGUGACCUUUGGCUUGUCUGGUGAAGUCUGAGUAGCCUACUCAUAAGUUUUGAUUGAACUUGUGUGCAGUGUAAGAGUAUUGGUGGGGCCUGCGCAUGGUACCUUGCUUAGUCAUAUGUUAGUGUCUCGUGUUUGUGCUUCUAGAGUUGACUGCUUGUUACGUCUGUCCUAGCAAUCUAAGUGCUUCUUUGCUCUCUGCUUAUUCUUCUGAGACAAUAAUUCAGAACAUUUUAUGUUGGUGCUGGAUCUUAGAUUGCGAUUUGAACCAGUGUCGCUCUCAUUUGAGCUCCUACCUUGAAAAUAGUGUUGUGAAUGUGUCCUUCAUACCUGACUACCAUUUCCUUGGUACACACACACACACAUGUUUGAUAUGCUUAAUUACAUAAGUGUGGGGUGGCACUUGUUGAAUCAAGUAGGAAGCUUGUGGUUGUUUGUGUUACGGUUAAGUUAUAUUACCUGCCAUUAAGUGUUUCUUUUGCUGUUUUAGGUAUUUCACUGCUUGAUACUGUUAAAAAUUGAUUGGGUAGGAAGAAGGUUGAAUACUCCUCAAUCUUAUUUAUCUUAACUUGCAUGUGUAAAUAAUCAUGUGCUAUGGCUCCACUGUCCAUGCAAUGAUGUUUUCUAUCCUUAAGUUUGUGCAAAUGAAUUUGUUAAUAUAUGAUAGAGCUGUGUUUGACUAGAAGAGGGAAGUCUGAGUACCUCUUGACAGAGUUUUACUCCAGCUGAUUUAUGGUUGUUAGUGCUCUUAUGUGCUUGAUCUUGUGCUUUUCUGUGUAAUUACUAGAGUAGUUUGGGACUCGAAAAUCAAUUACUGUCAUAUGUGCUUAAGUGCGUGAUCUAAGCUUUUAGUUCCAUGUAUGCUAGUGUUUUCUCCAUAAUUUUCCUCAAGUAUGCUCCCUUCUGGUUGGUUACUGGCCUUUUAUAAUUAGUUUUGAGCAGUUGUGUUGCAUAACUUUGUGGUGAGACUUGAAAGAGUAGUAUGAUACCUGAUAUUUUCAUGUGUAUGAACCAACUUUCUGUGGGUUUUAUGAAUCAUUGCAAAGGGUUGCGUGUAUGGUAGUUUUCUGGAAAAAGCUAACUAUUUGGAAUUGAUUGCACAACCUGAAGUUGAAGUUGCCCGGAACUAGUCGCAGGCAAAGUAGAUAGCUGAAUUGUGCACUCUUCCAUACUUCAUAUUGAUGUCAUUGGUUAACUAUGGUGCCUGAUAACUGAACCUAAUGGGAAAGUCAAGACCUGACUGCUAUUGUAUUCGUACAGCUGGGGCAACUAUCUGAAGUUGUUUCUUUUGCAGUUACCUACUCAUGGCUCCAAAAGCUAAGGCUCCGAAAGCGAAAGCCCCUCAGGCUAAGCCUUCCACAUCCUGAGCUUCUGCCGGAGACAAAGGCAAGAUGAAACUUACUCCUGAACAGAAAGCGGGCCAGCAGCCUCUGGGCCAAGAGACAGAAACCAGCAGCUCCUGCUCUUACAUUUGUGGAUGGUGCCGCCAAGAAAUCCUUUAAGAAGUUAGCUGCAAAGAGGUACGUCCUUUGUGGAGGGCGCCUGGGGUGUUGAAAAAUCUGAAGGAUGAUAGGCAAUGGAGAGUUUUGUGUGAGGAUGCCAGCCAGGCAAUCUGACUAUGGUGCAGGAAUUGUAUGCCAACUGGCGCCCUCAAUUCAGAGUGCCAGUAGUUUGGGGUGUUGACCUCUCGGUUGCAUCGGAGGAUCUUAAUGCCUUUCUAGGAUUUCCAGAUUGGACUGGAUGGACUACGAACUGCAAAAGGAGCCUAGAGUAUACAGACUUGCGACGAGUCUUAUACGAUGGGAAUACCAAAGCAAGGUGGAUCAAAUCAGCAAACCAGGACCACUACUCCAUGCCUUAUAAAUACUUUUCCAAGGAGGCACACAUGUAGUUGGCCUUCGUUAGCAACCACUUAUUCGGAAUGCUCACAAUACGAGGGUUAGGGGAGAGCGGGCGUUUUUGACGUAUGGUAUUAUGACUGGCAGAGCUAUAAAUGUGGUUAGCAUCAUGCUCCAAGCUAAGAAAGAAAAUUAGCCUUGGUUAUUCGCUGCCAACACUUGACCAGGUAUAUGAGGCAUUUCAGGGUUCUUCCGAAGAAGAGUGACCCUGAAAGGCCUCAUAUACCUGGUCAAGGUGUUGGCAUAGAAUAACCGAGGCUGUUGUUCUUUCUUAGUGCAAUACAUCUCUCGGAGCAUGAUGCCAGCUUCAUUUUGUAGCCCUGCCAGUCAUAAUAGCAUAUGUCAAAAACGUCCACUCUUGGCAUACUGGAUAAGGUUGUUGCUAACGUAGGCCAGCUACAUCUAAGCCCCAGUGAAAAGUAUUCGUAAGGCAUGAAGUGGUGGUCAUGGUCUACUGAUUUGAUCGACCUUUUUUGGUAUAACAUCGCAUAAGACUUGUCGCAUGUCUGUGUAUAGUCUGGUUUUUUUCCAAUUCUGAUAAUCCAUCCAAUCGAAUGGGUAGGUGUGGCCUUCUUCCCAGAUUAGAGUUUCUAAGUCACCUUGAAUCCCUCAAGCUGGUUUCCUACAGCUAUCCAGCUAAACUUACUUACGAGUUCAAUUUCCUCUAGAAACUAACGGAUUGACUUUGUCAAAGUUUCGUCUAUCUUGGACCCAAAUAUCGACCAUUGUAGAACCGCCUAACUUGGAGAUCCUAAAGUUAUUCCUCAAAGCCUUUGAAGGGGAUCACUGGAAAGUAAAAAAUUCAGACUUUCCUGAACUUAAAUAGUUAAAAUCUAACAAUCUCAUCAUCACACUUUGGUUUGUUUCCGUGGAUGCUUUCCUAAGCUAAAACGUUUGGCUUUAACUAAAUGAAAGAGGCCUAAGGAAAUCCCUUCUCAUUUUGGUGAUGCAACACCUCUAACACGCAUGUAAGUAAACUGGUGCACCUAAUCUGCUGCCAAGUCAACCAAGGAAAUUCAAUGAAUGCAACAUGAAGAUAUGGAAAACCAUGCAUCCACAGUUACUAUACAGCCUCCAGAUCGGGCUAGAAGAUCUUUUCCUUUGACUCUUAUUUGGUAUGUUCCUGUAAUUUACUUUCAGGUUUGUCAGUAUUGUACUUACAUCUUUCAAACUGAGAUGUGAAGAUUAAUCGAAAUUUUUAUGAUGGUUCGAUUCC